rnacentral:rRNA from 1 species
UACGUAGGUGACAAGCGUUGUCCGGAUUUACUGGGCGUAAAGAGCGCGCAGGCGGUCGAUCAAGUCGAGUGUGAAAGCCCCCGGCUCAACUGAGGAACUGCACGGGAAACUGCCUGGCUUGAGUUCGGGAGAGGGAAGCGGAAUUCCGGGUGUAGCGGUGAAAUGCGUAGAUAUCCGGAGGAACACCGGUGGCGAAGGCGGCUUCCUGGACCGACACUGACGCUGAGGCGCGAAAGCUAGGGGAGCAAACGGG